GUCAGGGGCCCGUGCCAUUCUGCCUUGGACUUUUUCUGCCUUGGACUUAACCACACGGAGUAGCAGCCUUGUGACUCAAUAGACCACAGACCUGCAGCUUACUUGGGUUCCCAUUUUCUUUACCUCAUAAUGCCAUGAGUGGAGCUAUUAGCAAGUCAUAGUUCACACCCCAACUUUCCAGUAUUUUCCCUAAUUCUUGCUCGAUCAGAGUCCAAGAACAAUAAAAUGAUUCAUAGGCCCUACUUCCUGCAAGCCAUCAUUUUCCCACGGGUUAUUUGCAAUUUUAGAAGGUGAAGGAAAGACUUGAAAGACAAAGAGAACACCUUCUUGGUUGAAUUUCUUGCAUGCACCCUUAAAAUCACACGACUCAGACCAUCUCUUCAUUUACCCUUAUACCUCUGUUAUCAAAGUCAGUGAAUUCAAUAGACACCAGGCUGAUCAAUGGAACUCCUCAGUGUGCAUGAUCUGAAAUACAAGGAUCCAGAAAACCAAAAUAACUGAAGACAGACAGGAGGAUGAGUGACUCGCCUACAGUCACAAAGGAAACACUUACAAUGGCUUAUCCUUAUUGGUAUAAGAAAUAACAAGGAAUCAUGAUAUCGAAUAAUUAUUUUCCUCAAAAAACAAUGAAAUCCAAGAGCAUAUAUGGAUGGAUGAGUCAAGAGAAGUACUGGUAGGCAGGAAAAAAAAGUAAGUUUGAACUCAAAUGCCAGUAGGCAUGUUGUUUUCUAUGCUAGUGGAAUGAUUAUACCUACUUGAUAAACAUAUAAAUAAAUUCCCUUCAUAAUUUAACCUUUGCAAGUUGAAGUUGGAAUGUGGCAGAAAGUAUUUUGGGCUAAAUAUUACUCACGUGUAAGGAAUUGGUGUGAUAGAGGCACUCCCCUCCAGUCUGAGGUAGAAAAAAAAUGAACCAAAAAUCAAUCUUUUGAAAAGUGAUGAAAAUGCUUAUUUAUUCAUAGUAUACACAUUCAUUAAAUGUUUAUUAUGUAUGUAUAAAGCAUUGCUCAGGAUUAGAAACCUACUUUAUCUUACUUUGAUUCUUUUCAUUAUUUUCAUCUUUUGUUUUUACUUUAGAGCCAACACUUUUCAUGAAGAAAAAGAUGUGCAACUUAUUAGUAAUAUUAUCUAACAGAUCUGUUUAAUUUCCAGUGAUACCCUGUCCGAUUACAUUAGCUACACCAAAGCAAACACUGUAACUUUCAUGUGCAUGUGACAAUCUUUAAACUUCUGGGGCCACAGAAUGAAGGCAGGUAUGAGGCAGAUCAGAGGAAAUCCACCCUUCCUAGAGAAUUAGGGUAGGAGUUAGCUCUGUUCAUUUGGCUGUUUUGGGGGCAGUAUUGAAGGUUGAAGUCAGGGCUUUGCUAGGCAGGCACUCUACCAUGUUAGCCAUGCCCCAAGCCCUUUUGCUUUGGUUAUUUUAGA